CAGCCGCCGCGGUAAAACCAGCACCUCAAGUGGUCAGGAUGAUUAUUGGGCCUAAAGCAUCCGUAGCCCGUUUUGUAAGUUUUCGGUUAAAUCCAUGCGCUUAACGUAUGGGCUGCCGGGAAUACUGCAUAACUAGGAAGUGGGAGAGGUAGACGGUACUCGGUAGGAAGGGGUAAAAUCCUUUGAUCUAUUGAUGACCACCUGUGGCGAAGGCGGUCUACCAGAACACGUUCGACGGUGAGGGAUGAAAGCUGGGGGAGCAAACCGGAUUAGAUACCCGGGUAGUCCCAGCUGUAAACUAUGCAAACUCAGUGAUGCAUUGGCUUAUGGCCAAUGCAGUGCUGCAGGGAAGCCGUUAAGUUUGCCGCCUGGGAAGUACGUACGCAAGUAUGAAACUUAAAGGAAUUGGCGGGGGGAGCA
rnacentral:rRNA from 1 species